UACGGAGGGUGCAAGCGUUAAUCGGAAUUACUGGGCGUAAAGCGCGCGUAGGCGGAUAAUUAAGUCGGAUGUGAAAGCCCCGGGCUCAACCUGGGAACUGCAUCCGAUACUGGUUAUCUAGAGUACAGUAGAGGGUGGUAGAAUUUCUUGUGUAGCAGUGAAAUGCGUAGAUAUGAGAAGGAAUACCAGUGGCGAAGGCGGCCACCUGGACUGAUACUGACGCUGAGGUGCGAAAGCGUGGGGAGCAAACGGG
rnacentral:rRNA from 1 species